rnacentral:rRNA from 1 species
AUGCCAGCCUCCUCCUGGUUCCACAAGCUCAGGGGGAGGAGCACAAGGAAGGCCAAGCGAUCGCCCGCGUGUCCGCCGAGUCCGACGCGCGGCUCCUCCGCCGCCGCCUCGCCGGAGUGCACGGACCAACAGACAAGCCAGCAGCGCCGGCCACCCGCGCUUCCACCGGCGGCGUGUGCCGGCUACUCUCCCAACAGAGCCUCCUACUACUUUCCGAGCGCGGACCGGGGAGCGCUCCGGUGCAUCGCCCCGCGCGGCGCCGACGACGACGACGGCGCGGCCUUGGACGUCCGUGUCGACGUCAUCCAUAGCCGCGCCGGCAGGCUCGGCGGCAUAGACGCGCCUCCGGCGACGCCGGAGCUCAACCUUCGGCGCAUCGUCACGAGGCCCGCCGCCAAGAACGACCCCGCGGAAGGCGUCGCCGUUGGCAGCAGCGCCGGCACCCCCACCUCGGCUGCCACGACGCCGACCACCUGCAGGGCGCGGGGGUUCCACGUGAAGCCGGCCGGCAGGCGGCGUCGGCGCGGCCACGACGACAAAAGUGCCCGGAAGGAAAAAACAGCCGAGGACGCGGGCAGCAGGAGACGGCGGUGGCUGUACGAGAGCCUGGUGGUGGUGAAGACAUCGUCGGACCCGGAGAGGGAUAUGGCGGAGAGCAUGGCGGAGAUGGUGGCGGCCAACCGCAUACGGUCAUCGGAGGACCUCGAGGAGCUGCUGGCGUGCUACCUCGCUCUCAACGCCGCCGAGCACCACCGCGCCGUCGUUGCCGCGUUCCGCCGUGUCUGGCUUCACAUCGCCGGCCAAAGAAUGCGCCACCUGCGACACUAA